rnacentral:rRNA from 1 species
CGGUACGGGGGUGUGAGAGCAUGCCCCCGCUCANUGGGANUGAGACACUGCCCAGACACNUACGGGUGGCUGCAGUCGAGGAUCUUCGGCAAUGGGCGCAAGCCUGACCGAGCGACGCCGCGUGUGGGAUGAAGGCCUUUGGGUUGUAAACCACUGUCAGUGGGGAGGAAGGCUCCGUGAAGAACGGGGUUUGACCUAUCCGCAGAGGAAGUGUGGGCUAAGUUCGUGCCAGCAGCCGCGGUAAGACGAACCACACGAACGUUAUUCGGAAUUACUGGGCUUAAAGGGUGCGUAGGCUGUGCGGAAAGUUAGGUGUGAAAUCCCCCGGCUCAACCGGGGAAUUGCGCUUAAAACUACCGUGCUAGAGGAAGACAGAGGUGAGCGGAACUUCGGGUGGAGCGGUGAAAUGCGUUGAUAUCCGAAGGAACACCGGUGGCGAAAGCGGCUCACUGGUCUUUUC